GACAGAGGAUGCAAGCGUUAUCCGGAAUGAUUGGGCGUAAAGCGUCUGUAGGUGGCUUUUAAGUCCGCCGUCAAAUCCCAGGCUCAACCCUGACAGGCGGUGGAAACUACCAAGCUGGAGUACGGUAGGGCAGAGGGAAUUUCCGGUGGAGCGGUGAAAUGCGUAGAGAUCGGAAAGAACACCAACGGCGAAAGCACUCUGCUGGGCCGACACUGACACUGAGAGACGAAAGCUAGGGGAGCGAAUGGG
rnacentral:rRNA from 1 species